AGUAGGGAAUAUUGCACAAUGGGCGAAAGCCUGAUGCAGCAACGCCGCGUGCGCGAAGAAGGCCUUCGGGUUGUAAAGCGCUUUUCGGGGAGAAGAGAAAGGACGGUAUCCCCGGAAUAAGGAUCGGCUAACUACGUGCCAGCAGCCGCGGUAAAACGUAGGAUCCGAGCGUUAUCCGAAUUCACUGGGCGUAAAGCGCGUGUAGGCGGUUCGGUAAGUUGGAUGUGAAAGCUCCCGGCUCAACUGGGAGAGGACGUUCAAAACUGUUGGACUAGAGGGCGGAAGAGGGAGGUGGAAUUCCCGGUGUAGUGGUGAAAUGCGUAGAUAUCGGGAGGAACACCAGUGGCGAAGGCGGCCUCCUGGGCCGCACCUGACGCUCAGACGCGAAAGCUAGGGUAGCAAACGGGAUUAGAAACCCCGGUAGUCCUAGCUGUAAACGAUGUAGACUUGGUGUUGGUGGGGUAAAAGCCAUCAGUGCCGGAGCAAACGCGAUAAGUCUACCGCCUGGGGACUACGACCGCAAGGUUAAAACUCAAAGGAAUUGACGGGGACCCGCACAAGCAGCGGAGCGUGUGGUUUAAUUCGAUGCAACGCGAAGAACCUUACCCGGGCUUGACAUGCGAGUGGUAGGGAAGUGAAAGCGGACCGACCCUUCGGGGAGUUCGCACAGGUGCUGCAUGGCUGUCGUCAGCUCGUGCCGUGAGGUGUCCGGUUAAGUCCGGUAACGAGCGCAACCCUUGCUGUAUGUUACAAGUGUCAUACGGGACUGCCGGUAUAAAGCCGGAGGAAGGUGGGGAUGACGUCAAGUCAGCAUGGCCUUUAUGUCCGGGGCUACACACACGCUACAAUGGUCAGUACAAUAGGUUGCAAAACUGCGAAGUGGAGCCAAUCCCUAAAGCUGGCCACAGUUCAGAUUGCAGGCUGCAACUCGCCUGCAUGAAGUCGGAGUUGCUAGUAACCGCGCGUCAGCAACAGUGCGGUGAAUACGUUCCCGGGUCUUGUACACACCGCCCGUCACGUCAUGGAAGCUGGCAACACCUGAAACCGGUAUCCUAACCGCAAGGAAGGAACCGUCAAAGGUGGGGCUGGUGACUGGGACG
rnacentral:rRNA from 1 species